rnacentral:miRNA from 1 species
GCUGACUCCCAGUCCAGUGCU